rnacentral:lncRNA from 1 species
AUAAAAUGAUAAUUUCAUUGAAACACAGAAUAUCUACUAAACAUGUCAAAACUGAUAAAUAUGUCAAUCACAAAAAAAACUGGUAAAAUAUGUUAUGAUGAAUUCUAGAUGCCAGAACAGAUAGUCUAAUUCCCAAGAACAUACUAGGAAUAAUAAUAAUGAAUAUCCAUAUCUGCAUUCUAGAUGCUAUUUUGUUGCUAAAUAAUAGUAAAAUAUGAAGCUUAUUUUUUACACCUCAUCUCAUCACUGGGAACCUAAACCCUCUUGUUUGUUAGAAUUGCUUAUUUAUUAUUAUUUUGUUGCUUAUUAAUAGUAUAAUGUAGUGUUUUUAUCUUUAUCAACAGUCAAAAUAUUCCUGAG